GAAAUGCGAUACGUAAUGCGAAUUGCAGAAUUCAGUGAAUCAUCAAAUCUUUGAACGCAAAUUGCGCUCCUGGGUAGCCCUAGGAGCACGCCUCUCUCAGUAUCGGUUCAAAAAUCUCUCAGCAGCGUGUUUGCAAUCGAGCCUUGUGCUCUUUGGUUUAUGCGUGUUGGCUGGAUAAUGAGAGUCUGUAUGCUUGCGUGCAGUCUCUUUAAGUACAUGGAGUUAACAUUAACUUUCGAUCAAUUCAGCUUC
rnacentral:misc_RNA from 1 species